GCUUUUCAGAAUAUUGCCAGCUGAACAACCACUGAUCAGACACAUAGGAGACAUUUCACAUUCCAGACCCAGCAGAAGGUGAAACAGAUGUUUGGAACUAGUCACUGGAGACAGAAAUCAAGCAAGAAGUGAAGUCCUCUGAAGGCAGGUCUGUUUCUUGGGUAAAGAACAGAAGAUAGACACUGCUCUCUGAGAAAGGAUAAUUCAGCCAGCUCCCGGGAUAUCUAGAUGACAGGUCUGUCCUUGGCCAUUCUUCCCCCACAACAUGAAUUACACUUGUGGUUUCUCUGCUGGCUUCCUCCCCAUUGAAAUGUUAUUGCUGGAUAGACCUCCUGACCUACACCUAGAUUCUCCCACCUUACACGAUGCCUUCAAAUUGACAAAUUGACAAGAUUCUUUCUCACAGUGCUUACUACUGAUGUUCUGCAAUCCCCUCACCCACCCUCCUCCCUCCCUCUCCCUUGUGAUCUUCAUUAAAAGAAUUCCG
rnacentral:lncRNA from 1 species